rnacentral:rRNA from 1 species
UACGAGGGGGGCGAGCGUUGUUCGGAAUUAUUGGGCGUAAAGGGUGCGUAGGCGGUUUGGUAAGUCUGAUGUGAAAUCUAUGGGCUCAACUCAUAGUCUGCAUCGGAAACUGCCGGGCUUGAGUUCGGGAGAGGUGAGUGGAACUGCGAGUGUAGAGGUGAAAUUCGUAGAUAUUCGCAAGAACACCAGUGGCGAAGGCGGCUCACUGGCCCGAUACUGACGCUGAGGCACGAAAGCGUGGGGAGCAAACAGG